GUGGGGAAUUUUGGACAAUGGGCGCAAGCCUGAUCCAGCAAUGCCGCGUGCAGGAAGAAGGCCUUCGGGUUGUAAACUGCUUUUGUACGGAACGAAACGGUCCGGGUUAAUACCCUGGGCUAAUGACGGUACCGUAAGAAUAAGCACCGGCUAACUACGUGCCAGCAGCCGCGGUAAUACGUAGGGUGCAAGCGUUAAUCGGAAUUACUGGGCGUAAAGCGUGCGCAGGCGGUUUUGUAAGACAGGCGUGAAAUCCCCGGGCUCAACCUGGGAAUUGCGCUUGUGACUGGAAGGCUGGAGUGCGGCAGAGGGGGAUGGAAUUCCGCGUGUAGCAGUGAAAUGCGUAGAUAUGCGGAGGAACACCGAUGGCGAAGGCAAUCCCCUGGGCCUGCACUGACGCUCAUGCACGAAAGCGUGGGGAGCAAACAGGAUUAGAAACCCGAGUAGUCC
rnacentral:rRNA from 1 species